AUUAUUUUGGCAGAUUAGUGCAUUAAAUUUAGAAUUUAAUUAUAUAAUAUUUUAUUAUAAAUAAUAC
rnacentral:tRNA from 1 species